ACAUCCAGAGAAUUUAGCAGAGAUGCUUUAGUGCCUUCGGGAACUCUGAGACAGGUGCUGCAUGGCUGUCGUCAGCUCGUGUUGUGAAAUGUUGGGUUAAGUCCCGNAACGAGCGCAACCCUUAUCCUUUGUUGCCAGCACGUAAUGGUGGGAACUCAAAGGAGACUGCCGGUGAUAAACCGGAGGAAGGUGGGGAUGACGUCAAGUCAUCAUGGCCCUUACGAGUAGGGCUACACACGUGCUACAAUGGCGCAUACAAAGAGAAGCGACCUCGCGAGAGCAAGCGGACCUCAUAAAGUGCGUCGUAGUCCGGAUUGGAGUCUGCAACUCGACUCCAUGAAGUCGGAAUCGCUAGUAAUCGUAAAUCAGAAUGUUACGGUGAAUACGUUCCCGGGCCUUGUACACACCGCCCGUCACACCAUGGGAGUGGGUUGCAAAAGAGGUAGAUAGCUUAACCUUCGGGAGGGCGUUUACCACUUUGUGAUUCAUGACUGGGGUGAAGUCGUAACAAGGUAAGCGUAGUGCU
rnacentral:rRNA from 1 species